rnacentral:lncRNA from 1 species
GUGGACUGUGCAUCCCUCCGUGUCCUCGAGUGACCGUCUGCUCGUGUGUGCAGGGCGACCUUUUCCUGACUUCACCAAGCAUGCGAUGGAGCAUAACUAGAGCAAGGAGAGACGUAUCCAGCAUGGGGAAAAUAAACUACAGGGCAGGACUGCACUUUGCAGCUCUUCCGUCUGCGCAUCCUACUGGAGGUGAGCCUGGCAUCUGCAAGCUGCCGCUCGGAGGAAGUGCCAAGGCGACCACAGGCCCUGCCAACACAAGCAAGAGAUCUGAUGUCAUCUUCAGAACUGCUAUUGAAAAACAGAAAAAGCAUUAUUCAAGGAAGUGAAAAAUCAUCUCUGACUUAAGCCAUGAAGGGCUUCAAAUACGGGUCCUGGCAAGAGCCGUGGAGGCUGCUCCGACAGUUAUGUUCUCCCUGCAUUUUCGGCACCAGUGUGUGGGGCACCUUGGGCUGCCCUGGUGGGGAUGAGCACAUGGAGGACGCCCAACCCCGCGGGCACCUCUGCUCCUACUGCCCCGCGAGGCAGUGAGGUCCCCCUGGCCUCGUCUACUGGGUCAGCUCCGGGUUUGAUCCUUGGGCUUUCAUUACACAAACAUUUAACUAACUACAGAAACCAGUGGUUUUUGAUCUUUUAAAAUGUGUAGUUCCCCCAGAUAUUUUCCAGUGCUUACCCUAGUGGAAUUUAAACCUGUUGCCGAACUGCUUUUCUCAGGGUUUUAUGUGCCUGGAGGUGUAGGAAGCACACACUGAAAACCGCUGGAGCAAGGAAUGAAGGAAGCAGACAUGAAAUAUAUCUGGUUAAAAUGUAAGCAAGAGUGUGUGCACAGCAUUUUGCAAAAGUUUAAAUCUGUUUAAUUGCAUAGUUUGUGUUGAAUUAAUGCAAUUCUACAUUUAGAUAAGCUCUUAAGGCAUAAUUUUUAAACUAGUUUCCCUAGGAGAGCUUGAAAGUCUGUAGGAAUAUUCUUAUUUCUGGCUUCCUGAGGAUAAAUCUAGACAGAGCUUAAAGGCAUGAUGCAAAAUUGAUGUAGCCAGUUUGAUGUAACCAGCACGUUCCAGAAAAAGCACCGAUAAUGCCACUUCUUCUCCAGCUUAUGCCAAACCAGUCCUCGUGGGAAGCUGGUCUUGAGUCAGCUUGCCUUGCCUCAUUUUAGGAUCUUUUAGGGCUCAGACACGUUUGCUUUAGGGCAACUUCACACAGCAGCCAAGCCAACAGUGUGCACGUUGCCUUUAAUCAGUGGCAAAUACGAGGAAGAUUUUUAUAGGAUGUGGGUCCACAUCUGUGUGCAGUUACAGGUUAG